AUGCCGUCUUUGCUGAGCAUACAGCUGUAUCAUCUGCUUGUCAUCCUUGCCCAUAUAUUUGCUUACUUUGGGCCAAUUCACCCCUCAUCCUCAAACUCCAGUGGAAGUGUGUCAGAAGCUUCCAACUUUAACCAUCAUUGGAGUGGCACAUCAGUACCUAGUGAAAUACCAAACUCCUAUGCUUUUCCUGCCAUGGAUCUUCAUUAUCACAGUUGAGAGCACCAUUCCCCGCCUCCAUUUUCUACAACCAACAAUCAUAUUGGUGACGCUGACCAGGGUUCAAUUCCAUCUGUUACUCAAAGAUCUGCUAGGCCGAGCUCAGAUUUACCAAGAUCAGGAUCUUUUAUGCACCCAUUCCUUGUUGGUCACAGCUUCAAAACAUAAACCCAACAAAACAAGGUGUGUUGCAGCAGAUGAGUUGGAGCUUGUGCAGGAAAUGAUCAAAUAUCUUUUGAUGAGAACAGACCGAAAGGAUAAGCUCCCUGCUCCUUACCUUUUUAUUUUAUUUUAUUAUUUUAUU
rnacentral:lncRNA from 1 species